rnacentral:lncRNA from 1 species
AAACAAAUCCUGUUUUAUAUCUUCUUGAUUUACAAUCCUUGAUUUUAUUUCCUUUCUUGUGUUCAUUUGUUGUACAGGCGAUCGGAGAUUGCGGCUCGUGCCAGACUUGACUUGCGGCGCUGCUGGUCCUUGGAAACCCUAAAAACAGAUAAAGAAACCCUAGGGUUUCUUUACCUGUUUUUGGGCCACUAAGUUUUGGGCCUAUGCUUUGUUUCUUGGGCCUUGUGUUCUGGGCCAACCUAAUUUGUUCUGGACUUGUAAAAAGAAAAACACUGGACUUUUUACUAUUAUUUUUUCUUAUUAAGGGUAUUACAAAUAUGCUUUAUGUAAUUAAGGACAUUUUUGUAUUUUUUUAUUAUAUUAUUUUUACCCUGUAAAUAGAUAUUACUAAGUUG